rnacentral:rRNA from 1 species
GAUGAACGCUGGCGGCGUGCCUAAUACAUGCAAGUCGAGCGAACGGACGAGAAGCUUGCUUCUCUGAUGUUAGCGGCGGACGGGUGAGUAACACGUGGAUAACCUACCUAUAAGACUGGGAUAACUUCGGGAAACCGGAGCUAAUACCGGAUAAUAUUUUGAACCGCAUGGUUCAAAAGUGAAAGACGGUCUUGCUGUCACUUAUAGAUGGAUCCGCGCUGCAUUAGCUAGUUGGUAAGGUAACGGCUUACCAAGGCAACGAUGCAUAGCCGACCUGAGAGGGUGAUCGGCCACACUGGAACUGAAACACGGUCCAGACUCCUACGGGAGGCAGCAGUAGGGAAUCUUCCGCAAUGGGCGAAAGCCUGACGGAGCAACGCCGCGUGAGUGAUGAAGGUCUUCGGAUCGUAAAACUCUGUUAUUAGGGAAGAACAUAUGUGUAAGUAACUGUGCACAUCUUGACGGUACCUAAUCAGAAAGCCACGGCUAACUACGUGCCAGCAGCCGCGGUAAUACGUAGGUGGCAAGCGUUAUCCGGAAUUAUUGGGCGUAAAGCGCGCGUAGGCGGUUUUUUAAGUCUGAUGUGAAAGCCCACGGCUCAACCGUGGAGGGUCAUUGGAAACUGGAAAACUUGAGUGCAGAAGAGGAAAGUGGAAUUCCAUGUGUAGCGGUGAAAUGCGCAGAGAUAUGGAGGAACACCAGUGGCGAAGGCGACUUUCUGGUCUGUAACUGACGCUGAUGUGCGAAAGCGUGGGGAUCAAACAGGAUUAGAUACCCUGGUAGUCCACGCCGUAAACGAUGAGUGCUAAGUGUUAGGGGGUUUCCGCCCCUUAGUGCUGCAGCUAACGCAUUAAGCACUCCGCCUGGGGAGUACGACCGCAAGGUUGAAACUCAAAGGAAUUGACGGGGACCCGCACAAGCGGUGGAGCAUGUGGUUUAAUUCGAAGCAACGCGAAGAACCUUACCAAAUCUUGACAUCCUUUGACAACUCUAGAGAUAGAGCUUUCCCCUUCGGGGGACAAAGUGACAGGUGGUGCAUGGUUGUCGUCAGCUCGUGUCGUGAGAUGUUGGGUUAAGUCCCGCAACGAGCGCAACCCUUAAGCUUAGUUGCCAUCAUUAAGUUGGGCACUCUAAGUUGACUGCCGGUGACAAACCGGAGGAAGGUGGGGAUGACGUCAAAUCAUCAUGCCCCUUAUGAUUUGGGCUACACACGUGCUACAAUGGACAAUACAAAGGGCAGCGAAACCGUGAGGUCAAGCAAAUCCCAUAAAGUUGUUCUCAGUUCGGAUUGUAGUCUGCAACUCGACUAUAUGAAGCUGGAAUCGCUAGUAAUCGUAGAUCAGCAUGCUACGGUGAAUACGUUCCCGGGUCU